UAAGGAAAGGGUGGAUGUAUAUCCAAGAAAUAUUAACCUUAUUUGGAAUGUGACAAGCAGAAUGAUUUAUCUGAAUCAUUUCAGAUUCACCGUUUGUUUCUUUCCCUUUGCUAGCAUAUUUCCAUUUCCACUUUUAAUGCCUGUAAUGGCUCUGUGUUAUUUUAAGUUAAGUUGGCUAACCUUUUAUACACUUUUUGCAUUAAGCGACAAUUUUGUUUUCUGGGAAGAGUUCACUGAUAGCAUAUGUACAAGCACUUUAUUUCUCAAGCAAAUUCUUUCAACUUAACUCACUACCGGAUUGUGCUUAUUGAGAAUGAAAGUACCCAACAAAUCAUCCUCAUGGCUAAGGCGGGAGCUGCCCUUUCAGCUUGGAGUCCCUGCUUCACUUAUAUCAUGCAGGAAUGAUGGGACAAGCUGAACAUUUAUCAAGUUGUUGUGAACCCCUCUAUCUUGCCAACAGCUUAAUAAACAGUGAAGGGGAUGGGUAAUGACAAAAGAGUUUUCCUAGAAGGAUGUAGUUAGAGUGUAGUUUAGAUAUAGUUGAGGAUGACAAUAUCAAUGGAUAAUGAAUAUGCUAAAAUGGAAAGCAUAAGAAAAAUCCCCUUUGAGUUGUAGAUGAUCAUUGGAAGAAAAAUCAAGGUCAGCUAGCGAAGGAAGGAUCUUGAAGUUUUGUGCUGUUUUCCAACUCAGUUAUUCAACUGGCAUGUAUUUAUGCUAUUAACCAACAUUUAAUUAUUAUUAUAUAGACAGAGAACUAGUUUGUCCUUAGCAUCGGGCUGCACUCUAAAGAAGUCAUGAAGAAUUAUGUAACUCUGUGUUUGUACUGAAGAAGCUUAAAGAUCUCAUUGUGUACAGAAAAAAAGACAUGCACGAAAACAGUAAGCAUUACUUAGAAUAACAUAACACACUGCUAUGGCAUUAAGUUCAGUCAUAUAGCAUAGUUCAGUAUCAAAUAGGAUAAUAUAAAUAUGUUAAUAUGUUUUAGAAGGGAAGCUAGCAAAUGAGAUAUAAUGGCAAUCAACAGGGCUUAGUUUCUGAGGAAAAUAAUGGUGAAGAAGGUAGAGAUUGAGAUCUAAGACUGGGUCAAAUGUUGCAAACAAAAGGGGAUGGGAAGGGCAUUGCAGGUUGAAUGAAGAAUGGAGUAAAGCGUAGAAGGUAGACAUGGACAUGCUCUGGGUGGGGGUGAAGGAGGUGAAGGCAAGCAGAAAAAGGAAGGGUGCCUGACUAGAGGUGAUAAUAAAUUAAUAUUGUAGUUGGGAGAUCCCAAUUUGGGAAAAGCUGCAAAACUUGGCAGAAAUGCUCAGUCCUUUUAAAAAAUUAUGUUUCAUCUUAAUAUAUUUUCUUAGCCAAGCAUACAAUAUUCUUUAUAAAGCAAGAUUAAGCAAGAGGUGUGUGUUUGAGGGGAGUGUGAGUGAGGAACAGAAAAAUGGGAAGGGAAGCUAGCCAGCAGUGUCUACAUUACCACGGAUUCGCUAAAACUUUGUUAUAGUUCUGCCCUCUGCGUUAUAAGCACACUGAGUUAUUUUAGGUUUGCAGAUAUAUCAACGUCUUUAUCAGUUUGGAGCUUGGAUUCUUACCAGAGAAUCUUCAUAUUUAAUCAUUUGAUGAACUGAUGGACACACGGAGGGUUAGUAGGGUUUUUGUCACUGUGGGCUGUGGCUGCCUGAGGAGGAAAGAAGGGCGGCCAGAAAACCUUGCAGGAGGCUAAAAUAGGGGAAUAUGUGAAGAAGACAGAGAAGUUGGCAGAUGCCAAAAUUUUUCUGAGAAUUAACAGGGUUUUGUGGGAUUAAUUGAAUAUUAAAUGUCUCAACAUUUGUGAGGUGCUAUAAACGUACUUGAACAUGAUACUUCUCUAUGUAAUAUCUUUCCUGGAUUCAUAAGCUCACAUUUUCAGUGUUUCAGCAGUUAACACUGUAUAACUGGCUUAGUCCACUCGGGCUGCCAUAACAAAAUAUCAUUGACUGGGUGAUUUAAACAACAGACAUUUAUUUUCUCACAAUUAUGGAGGCUGGAAGUCUGUGAUCCAGGUGCCAGCACAGACAGAUCUGGUAAGGCUCUCUUCCUGGCUUGCAGACUGUUACUCUCUUGCUGUGUCUUCACAUGUCCUUUUCUCUGGGGAUUCACAGCAAGAGAGAGAGAGACAGAGACAGAGCAACAGAGAGACAGGGAAGAGAAGAGGAGGCGUGGGGUACCAAGGCAAAUGGAGGGGUGAUCAAGCUCUCUGGUGCCUCUCCUUAUAAGGACACUAAUUCCAUCAGACCAGGGCCCCAUCAUCAUGACUUAAUUACCUAUCAAAGGCCCCAUCUCCAAAUACCUUCCCAUUGGAGGUUAGGGCUUCAACAUAUGAAUGUUGGUGGGACACAGUCAGUCCAUAACAAGUAGAUUUUUUGUUGUUGUUGUUACCUGCUGCCAUUCUUCACCUCAUCCAUUCCUUGCUUUCUCCCUUUCUAAGUGAUCCUUUGGUUAGUAUGAGAAAAGAUUUGAAUCAGAGACUAGGGCAGGAUACACCACUUUGUUCUGCACACUUUCUUGUUAAUCCUCUUUCUAGAUAUGCAGAAGGGACAAGUUUUUAUUAAAAAUUUCACUUUUCCAAGAGGCAUAUCCAGACCACUUUAUUUAAUCUGUAACCUGACAUCAUCCCCACCUCAGUAACUCCUGAUCACACUCUUUUUUUUAAAAUUUUCUCCAUAUUUAUUACCUUCUAAGAUACUACAUAAUGUGCUUAUUUUAUGUAUUGUUUCUUAUCUGUCUCCCAUAAUUAAGUGUAAGAUUCACUAGGAGAAGGAUCUUUAUUUUUUUCACUGAUAUAUACAUAGAAUGGUGCCUGGCCUAUAAUAAGCACUCAAUAUAUAUUACAGAAUGAAUAAAUGCACAACUACUAAGUUAGCUAGAUGAAAAGGAUAUCUUUCCCUAUCAACCAUUAAUUUUAACAAAACACUAGUUGUGCACACUGAAUUAAGAUUUCAAAACUCACAUCUAGCAUUGAGUUUUAUUUCUUAAGAGACUGUACAGGAGAAUAAGGGGAUAUGUGUGGAUAUAUUUUGAAGAUAGAGCCAACAGGAGUUGCUCGUGCACUGGGUGUAGUGUGAAAGGGGGGAAUCAAGGAUGACUUCAAGAUUUUUGACUGAACAAACUAAAGGACAAAAUCAACAUCAGCUGAGAUAGGAAGAGUUACAGGGAGAGCAGGUUUGUUGGUAGUGCGGAUGGUGGCUGGGGGUCAGAUGAGGAGGUCAAUUCUGGUCAUGUUGAGUUUAAAUGUCUGUUAGACAUCUGGGUGGAGAUAAAGUAGUUGAAUAUGUGAGUAUCAAGUUAAGGAUAAAAGUCUGAGCAUUUAUCCUUAACAUUUAUGUAAAUUUAUAUUGACUUCACUUAAAACCUCACUUCUAUUAUUGUCAGUUUGAUUUGAAGGAAACUAUGCAUGUAUUUUUAAGGUAUCGCUAAGGACAACAAUGCAAAAUCAGUCUUGUUUUUGAGAAGUACCCUGUGUUGAGCAUUUUCAUUCUGUGGUUUCUCUUCUAGCAGGCAAAAGAAAAAAAAAUAUUUUCUUCUGAUUAUGUCAAACUAUUUUUGGAUUAUUCCAAAUUAUGUUUUAUGCACAUAUAAUUUGCAAUAUUUAUUCUUUGAGAGUUUUUCAUACCCUUCUCCUGGAAAUUAAUUCAUUAAGUCGAUCUUGAAGAGGAGGAAAUAUUUCAUUGUAACAAAUAGAGUGAAUAACUUUUGGGUAUUUUAUUAGUUUGUCUCUAUAAUUAGAAAAGUUUUAAAGAAAAGCUUUAUAGAAAGAGGAGUUAAGACAAUAACCAUUUCUGUUAAUUCUGCCUCCAUCAGCUACUUCUAUUUCUUCUUCUAGAUGGCCACACCACACUUGAAAGCCUUUAUCUUCAUGACCACGAUAUCUAUCUGUUGUAUUCAUUGCCUAAGAGCCACUAGGUACUUUUUUGUUGUUGUUUUUGUAGUUUUCAUUUUUCAAAAAUGUUGUACCUCAUGCAUGACUACAUCCUAUGCAAAAUAAAUAGCAUCAAUAAAUCAAGAAUUUGGAACAGCUGUCAUAAAUAGGAAGUCUGUUCUUGUAUUUCAUAUCUCAUUUCAUAUCUGAUUUUGGUUGAUUGCAAUUUUCUCUUUUUAAGAUUAAGAAUUUCUUGGGUGGUCCCAACAGAUGUUCAGGAAACUUGUAAACUCUCACAUUAGCACACACUGUAGAGUUAGGGACUUCAAGAUCCAUCUAGAGACAUGCACAAACGUGUGUGCUGUAUGUAUUUGUAUAAUAAAAUGAGGGCUCCAGCUGACUGAAAACAUGUGGCAAGCGGAUUUAAUAAAAUUCUUUCCUGAAAGCUGAUCAUCCAAACCAUCUGCAGUGUGGUCAGAUCACACAUCCUUCAUGUCUUAUCUGAGAGGACAAAAUAACCAGAGAUUUGGAUCCAGUUCCUCAGUCUAAAGAAGGCUGUUCAAAGUCCAUCAGCCCCAUGGUGCAUAUUUCUCCUUCUGAAAGGUUAUUUCAUCUGUACACCACUCUAGUCAGCCUUUGAAUAUGUGUGUCUCUCUUUUUCUUUUUCUCUGGUUAGAACAUACAUGUGUGUAAAAUAUGCACACCCAAAUGGAAUAAAGCUUCUCUCUUUAUGUCUCUCUAUAUAUGAAUGUAUCAAUGGGAUGAAGGAGGAGGAACUUAAAAAGGGAAGUACACUCAUGUUUUGGUGAAAAGGCAGAAUGAAAGAGAGAAGUGAAACUAGUUUUCUUUUUUUAAAAAAUCCAGUCUUUUUUUUUUUGGCUAAGAGAAACAAAUGUAGGUCAUAUUUCCAUAGAUGCAGUUUUCUUAAAAUUUGCAUGAUGCAUAUAUUCAAAUGAUUGUUCCAGGUUACUUCCUAGCAUCAUAGUACACAGAUGUCAACCUUACUAAUAAUUAAUAAUUUAUUAAUAUUCAUGUUAAUGGUAUAUAUUUAUUAGAUGAAUUUUUAACUGAAAUACUUCAAUAUCCUUUGGCAUAUUAGUGUUUUUAUAGAUUUUAAAUUAUUAUAGGAAAAGAUAUGCUUUUAAGACACAAUAAAAAUAAUUAGUUUCUUUCAAUUUGGUAAUUUUUUUCUUAUAUGAAUCAUCAAUGAGUUAUUCAGUGUAAUACAAAAAAAAAGGUGAGUUUAUAUUUUGUUUUGUUCACCUUGCCUCAGGGGUUUGUGAAUUUUGAUAUACUAUAGUUGAGAUUGUUUUCAGAAUACAUGCCAAAAUUUUUAAGAUUAAAUCUAUGUUUAAUUUAGAGCAUCAUUUGUACUCAGCUUUGAACAUUGAACCUCAGAUGUCAUUGUUGUGAAAUUGUAGAUGAUGCUUAUUGUGAUAUGACUUUGGUUUUGGUUUUUGUAUUUGUGUAUUGAAAUUCUAGUAUCUUCAGUCCCACACCUACCCAGCUUCAAUAAGCUGGGUGAUUAACUUGUGGAUAAGCAUAAGCAAAAUUUUAAUUUCUUACAGGGGAUCCCCGGAGGCCACUUUAUGGGUCUGAAAAAUAUAAGAUCUGUUCAAAACAGUGAGGGGAAAGACCCUUGCUGUCUCUGUGUAAGGUUGGUUGUGGAUGGACAGAGGUGUACGUCAAAAACUGCCCGUGAGACCAUCACAGAGACCCACGUGAGAGGAAAGGUCACAUGCGGGAAAGGAUAGAAAAGAGAAACCUGUAUAUUUAUGGGAUGAUGGAGAAAAAUUAGUAAAAACAAACUAAAGUUCUAAGCAAGAUUAUGUAUUAGACAAUUGGGUCAUUGUUGGCAAAAAUGAAGCUGGAAAGGAGAUUUUAUCUUUCAUUUAUGUUAAAAAGAGAUCCUGUCAAGGCAAUGAAAAUAGAACAAGGCAGAUGAAUGUUGCCUGGUCACCAAGAGCCAUAGUUCUAUAGGAAUUUCAUGCAUGUGUUUUUUUUAAUUCAUCUAUUUAAUAAUUUCCUCAUUCUACAAAUAUUUUGAGCACCUACUAUUACUACUAUUUUCUCUGCACGGAGUGUGAUAGAUACUGUGAAGAAGUUUGCAAAAAUGCAUGAUGCAUGUAACUCCUGCCUGUGAGCAUCUUACCUAGGUGAGAAAAAGAGGACAACAGGAAUUGGGCAUUCCUGUUAAGAGAAAUUUGCAAAAUUAUUUCAUGGGGCAGGGUAUAUCAGUCUGACUGGAGUCACGUGUAGAGACCAGAUACUCGGGUGGACAGGGUGAGACUGUAGAUGGGCUGGAACACAGGGGUGAGGAAAGAAGCACUGCUUUGAGUUGACUGAAUUGGCAGCAAUGGGGAAUCCUCCAGCACUCCCUCCUCCCCCUGCCCCACCCCACACUGCAUUUGUUAAAUGAGGUAUAAUUUACAUAUAGUUAUGUAAUUACCACCACGAUUAAGGUAAAGAAUAGCUACAUAACCCCACAAAAAUUCCCCUGUGCCUCUUCACAGUCUUUCCCUUUCUUACCCUCAGCCCCUGGUAACAACUCAGAAUGUUUUUCUCCCUAUAGCUUUUUCAUUUCCAAAUAUCUUAUGAAUGCAAUCUACAGCAUGUGCCCUUUAGCCUGGCUUCUUGCAUAAAACAUAAUGCAUUUGAAAUUCAUCCAUGCUGUUCUGUGUUUUCUGUAGUUCCUUCCCUUUCAUCGCUGAGUAGUACUCAAUUGUAUGGAGGCAUCACUCUGCUGCUGAGGGACGUUUGGGUUAUAUCCAGUUUUGGGGUGAUUAUCAGUAGAUCCACUGUAUAUAUUUGCAUACUGGUUUCUAACACUGCAUUUUUUCUUUUUAAAGUUUAUCUAUUUACUUAAUUUUGAGAGAGAGAGAGAGAGAGAGAGAGAGAGAGAGAGAGAGAGAGAAUGAGGAGAGGAGGGGAAGAGAAAGAGGGAGAGAGAGAGAAUCCCAAGCAGGCUCUGCACUGUCAGCACAGAGCCAGAUGCGGGGCUCAAACCCAUGAACCAAGAGAUCAUGACCUGAGCCGAAACCAAGAGUCAGACACUCACCCAACUGAGCCACCCAGGUGUUCCACACUGCACUUUAUAUAUCUUCUUUCCACCAUUGUAGCUUCCAAGCUUGAGUCAAUAACACCACUUCUUCAAGUUCAGGUUUUAAAAAAUGCAUAUGAGAAUGUGAAAUUGUUAAUAUCAAACCCCUUAUUUAUGAUUUAAAAAUUUUUGAUGGCUGCAAAAUUUUUUUACAAGAUACGUAUGGAAUGGAGACCAAUAGAAAAAUAAGAUAAAAUAAGUCAGUGAUAGACGAGGUUGGGCAAUAAUUAAAAGUAACCUUUGCCAAAAGGUCCAUCAUAAAAUGCUGAAUGUAUUGCUCAUUUACUAUGGAGCAGGCCAUGUGCUGUGAUCUGUGGGGGUUAAAAAGUAUGAUACUCAGUUCAUUAUCCUCAAUUGUUUGAAAAUAUUUUUUAUAAGUUUAAUUACUACCUAACAUUAUGUUACACAUAUAUUUAUGUUUCUCCCUCCUUACCAAAUAAACUCCACAAACAAUAUGUGCUUUUUGUUUUGUCACUUUGUAUUGUUUUAAGCACUGCAUCUCCAACACCUAGAAAAAUGUUUGGCAUACAGUAGGGCUUAAUUAAUAUUUUUGAAAGUCUAAACAAGGAGAUAAAACUUAAAAAAAAGAAUAGUCAGAAGUCAUAAUAAAGUAAUUUGAUUGACAAAGGGGGUUACCAAUAAGUGUUAAAAUUAAGGACAGAUUUCAAUAAACUACAGUCACUUAGGAUUGUAAAGAAAUAUUCUGAAGAGUUUGCUUUAGAUUUUGAUGGUUCUUAUGCUUGUGAUGAAUAUAUCUAUUCUUCAUAUUUAAACCAUAUUCCAAUUAAUAUGAGACCACACCAAAUGUGAAACAUACUACUAGUUUAAAAAUUACUAAAAAUAAAACAAUGCCAUUUAAACUAUGAACUUCUAUUGUCUAUAAGAUGUAUCCUAAAGAAAAGACAAUAAAUAUUAAAAAUGCAAAUUAUAAAAUUAACAAAAUAUAAGACUGGCCAAGUUUAAAUAAGAUGAUACAUUUACAAAUUUUUGUAAACUAUAAAAUUUACACAGUGACACAUACUGUACUUUAACCCAAAAUUUAGUUUCUUGACCCAAACUAACAAGAAAAUUUUAAAAAGAAAAUGUGUGAGUAUAUGUAAUAAACAAAAAAAAUUCAUACAUUUAGGUUGAUGAUUACUCAAAUACAUAUAAAAUUAUUUUCAUGUAUACAGAAGUUCAUGUGAAAAGUGGCCACACCCUCACUGAGAACAACAACAAUGUAAUCAGAACACCUGGUAGCAAAAUUUUAGAGCUUUUUUAUUAAAUUACAUUGCCCAGAUAUAGAUGCAUAUAGUGCAUCAUUUUUAAAAAUUAGCAUUUAGGGACACCUGGGUGGCCCAGUCAUUUGUCCAACUCUUGAUUUUGGCUCAUGUCAUGAUCCCAGGGUUGUGGGAUAAAGCCCUGUGUCAGACUCUGCACUGAGCAUGGAGACUGAUUGAGAUUCAUUCUCUCUCUCUCUCUCUCUCUCUCUCUCUCUCUCUCUCUCUCCCUCUCUCUAUCCCCCUUUGCCCCUCUCCUGCACUCAAACUCUCUCCCUCUAAAAAAAAAAAAUUAGCAUUUGUGUGUGCUUCCUGUGUGCAGGCAUUGUGUUAAGCUGUCAGUAGUUCUAUGAGUCAAUUGCUAGUAUGAUCUCUUUCUUACAGAUGGAGAGACUGAGGCACAAAGUGGUUUAGAAACUUGCCUAAGAUUGUACUAACAAGGAAGCAAAGCUUAUAUGUAAACAAAGUCAGUCUGAUUCCAGAACUAAUGCUCUUAACCUCUAUUCAGUGACAUGUCUUGUGAGGUACUGGGUUUGGGGCACCAUGCUUUAACAGUUAGUAUGGCAAACAAGUUUGGAUUCAGAGAAGGCCAUCUGGAUGAUAGGGUGUUUGGACAUUAUGCUUCUGAACAGAUGAUCAAAAUAUAAACAGGACAGAGAGACUUAGAGUGGGCAUGGUAACUAUCUUCAGAGAUGUUGAGAGCCAGAGGGCAUUAUUGGACAAUGGUUUUUUUGGAGGGUGGGAAUGGGGCAGAAAUUCCCAAGACAGAUUUCAGUUGUGUAUGAAGUGGCACUUGAAAAGGACCAGAGGCUACCAUUAUGGAAUGAACUUCCUCUAGAGGUAGUAAAUACCUUUUCACUGGAAUGUUCAACAGAAGAGGGAUGAAAUGGAAUCAGGGUAUUUUGUAGAAGAACAAACUGUGUAACUUAAAAAUAUUUCCCAACUCUAAAAUUAUGUGAUAUGUAGAUGUAAAAUCAGCUGAGGGGGCAGAUUACUUCUCAAAAUUCCACUAGAAAAAUUCUUUCCUUGUUUGAUUCCAAAUCUGCUAAAUACUAUAUAUGUUGAACUGGUUAUAUUUUAAAGAUAACUUGGUAAAAAUAUAUUUUGCUUGAUUAUUAAAUAGAAAUGGGUGAAAAUUUCUAGUUAAAAAUAAAUGAUAACAUAAAAUUCCAGCUUGCUUACAAAAAUUCACUUGUCAUAAUGAAGAAUUUUAAUAUAGAGCCCAUUUUUAAUUCAGUAUUUUUCUAUCACUAACAAUCGUUAAUUUAAAAAUCUAGUGAAAACAGAUUUUUACUAGACAUGAAACACAUUUCAUUGAAACAUGUGCUCUUAAAAAAUUUAUUUUUGAGAUAUAUUACAUGAGUACUCCUUUUGUUUAUAUUUUUAAAUUCAUAUUUAUUUUCUAAUACCACUGCUAAAUAUCUAUACAAAGAAGUAUUGUUUUAACCCUUGCUUGUGGGUAAAGAAAAUGAAGAAGUAUAGUUGAUCUGUUUGUGCUUUUUUUAUUAUUCUCACCAGAGAAAUUUAGAACCCUUCCUUUUACUUUCUAAAUUAAUAUUUUACUUUCAUGAUCUAAGAGAAAACUGUUACCUAUUUAACUUUUAUUUUUACUAUGUAUAGAAAAAUAUUUCCAGUAAAAUUCUUUUUUUAUUAAUAUUUUUAUUUAUUUUUUUGAGAGAGCGAGAGAGAGAGAGAGAGAGAUAAAGAGAGAGUGAGCACGAGCACAGGAGGGUCACAGAGAGAGAGGGAGACACAGAAUCUGAAGCAAGUCCCAGGCUCUGAGGUGUCAGCACACAGCCCAAUAUGGGACUUGAACUCAUGGACUAUAAGAUCAUGACAUGAGCUGAAGUCGGACUCCCAACUGGCUGAGCCACCCAGGUGCCCCUCCAAUAAAAUUCUUAAUUAAUACUUUGAUUGUUAUAAUAAUCAUAAAAUACAACUAGAUUUUAUAUUUAGAUUUCCAAUUUCCUCAGAAAGAACUGGACAAACAACAGUGAUCGCCUACAGGUUUUGAUUUUUCAUUAAAAAUAAAAAUGGUUAAAUAUAGUUUCUGCCCUUUGGACACAUAUGCAACAUACCAGCUAUAUUUUCCUAAAAAAAAAAAAAAAAGAAAA